rnacentral:lncRNA from 1 species
GAAUCCCCAAAAACGCAAACCAUUUAGAAAAUUAAACUUUCCUGUUAUGUCUAUCCCAGUGGUAAUAACAAGAUUCUGAGAUAUAGGAAAUAGACAUUCCCAACAAUCCAUGAUCUUGGAUGCACCACAUGGGAGGAAAUACGACAGAAGGAAUGGCAAAAGCAGUUUCUGCACAUGAGCCAUUGCUUGAGGAUAAUUUCUGGGAAUUAUGCCAUUGAGCCAUGUCAACUGGCUUUGUGAAUCAUCUUGGCUGUUUCCUUCCUGCAGUUCUCCUUGGAUAUCUUCUGUUGCACAUAAACAUGGCUACAGUAAAAAUAUACAAAUUUGAACCAAUAGCUUUAGUGUCUUCUGUUCCUGAAGUAUCUUCAGUGUCUUCUGUUCAGUCAGUGUUCAAAGGUCACGUAAUUACCAUCAGUUGGCAUACUUCAAGGACACUCAAAACAAUGUCACAAAAAUAUUUGUGUUGACAGUGAACAUUGCCAAAAACAGUCCACACAAUGUUUAUCUCUGAGCACCACACAAGGUUGAGUUUCAGAAGACAUAUGCCAACUAUCUUUUUAUUUUUAUUUUUAUUCUUUGUCUACUUAGUAUACAAAGCACAGGGGCUGACUAGUUUGUUUCUUUGAAGUUGCUUUCUUCCAAAUAUAUUGCAAAUGUAAACUACUUUUUAGUUAUGCUUGUUAGCUGUGCAGUGUGAGGCCUUUGAUGUCAGUUUGCCUGUAGUACAUAAAAACCAUUUUACAUUGCAACAUCAGAAUAAAACGUGGUGCAGAUUUUAUUUUAUAGGCUGC